GAUAAAUCAUAAUGUAGCUUAUUAUAGCUUGCUAUCUAGUAAUUAAAGGACUCAAUUACCCUUGAGCCCUUUAGUAAUAAUCAAAGAGUAUAUAUAUAUUAUAUAAACAAUGAAUACUAUAACAACAGUUGUUAAGAUAUUAUUUAUAUAAAGAAAUAGGAACGGAAUAAUUUGGUUUUUUUCCGACAACAGAGAUUUCGUCUACAUAUUUUCAGCUACUUUUUCAAUAUUAUUAUUAAAUAUAUUAUUUUUAUUGAUAGCCUUAGUGUGAUGUAAAUGAGAUCUACUAAUAUCUGGAGUGGACCAAGAGUCAAUAUCUAAACCUCACGUCGGGGAAGUGUAUUUUUUAAAGUUAAAAAUCAAAUGGUAAAACCUAAUUGACUUGGUACAAUAUUACUCGCUAUUUAUUUUAUGAGCAUCAGAUAAUCUAUUUAAAGUCACUUGUUACAAUUAAUGUAUCUCCCAGGAAUACAAGAUUUUGGACUGAAAUACAAAAGUAAAAUAUUGUACAUCCUUUUCCAAAGAAGUGAUUCCUAACUUUAUUAGAUAAAAUGUUCAAUCUAAACUUUAAUUUUCGUAAUUUUUUUGUAAUUAAGGAAAAUGUUAAAGGUAAUAUCUAUAGGAAUCUUUACACUUACUUUACGCAAGUUUUUUUUAAAUCAAAAACUUUUUAUUUUAGCUCAAAAAUGUCUGUAUGGAAGAUAUAUAAAUUAUUGCAAGUGACUUUAAAUCGAUUCUCUAGUGCUGAUGAAAUAAAAAAGGUAGUAAUUUUGUGCUAAGUCUAUUAGGUUUUUCCAUUUGAUUUUUAACUAUAAAAACUACAACUCCUCCACGUGAAGUUAAGUGAUUGACCCUUAGUCUACUCCAGAUAUUAGUGUAACUCAUUGGUUAUGUACUCAUUUAAUGUAUCUACACCAUGAGAAAAAAAAUAUUAGAAGAAAUACCAAUUAUUUUUGUGAGAUAGGAAGAGGAAAAUUUAUUGCUCUAUGUACCAACACAUUCAGGAUGAUGAUUUUUCAUAAUUUAUUAAUUGAGUAUUUAAAUUCAAUGUUAGAGUAUUUUGCAUUUGAAUUUUUCAUAAAGCUUCAUCCAUGUUUAGUUUUUCUAUAUAUUUUUUUCAUCUUCUAUUUUUCUUUUUUUUUGUGAUAAGUCAAUAAUUUACAAUAUUUAUUCUGUAAUAACUUAUGGUUAUUUUUAUGCUCCAAGAUCAAUUAUUUAAGUUAUUACCAAAGUCUGUUUGUGUGCCAAUAGAUAUAUUCAAACUUUUUAAAUCGUCAAAUUAGUAAGAUCAUGACUGGAUUCGUUCAUAUCAUGUGCUUUAAUAUUUAGAUCAUUAGAAGGUAUAAAAAUUGGUUCUUUACACCAGUUAGAAUAAUUUUCUAUUAAUGUACAAUCACUCAUACCGAAAAACUUAUGGUAUCUACGAACAAUUUUUAAUAUACUAUUAUAAUGGUUAAAACUAGGACAAAAACGAUAAGUAAAUAAAAAGAAAAUGACCAAUCCGAAGAUCUUUUUAUUUGGAAAGUUGGAGUAAUUAUCCUUAACAAAUUUGAAUUUCACACCUUUUUACCUUUUUUAUGGAGGUAAUAUGAGCCAUUUCAAUAAAUCUGGAAAAUUCCUAUGUUGAAAUUAUAAUAUUGCAUGGUUUAUCGAAACAUCUUAACAUUUAAUAAAUAUAUAAACUAAAAAUAAUAAUAACUCAAACGCUUACUAAAUUUUAAAUUCUACUGACAUUUUAUGUAAAAAUAUCUAGAACUAGUUUAAUUCUAAUUCACUAUCAAUAAAUAACUUUAAUAUGUAA
rnacentral:lncRNA from 1 species